GUGAUGCUGAUUGAAGGGGUGAAGGGCACUUGCCGGACCAAUCAUUGAGUGAAUCUAUUUUACCACUUCUGCCACGUGGUCCAGUGAUUUGUGAGAGUCGUGGCUUGUAAUUUGUGAGAGUAACCGCUGAAAGGAACUAUUGAAGUCAUUUUCUUUGUCGAACUUUUUCUGUCUGUGCAAAAAGUAGGCAUCUCUUAGCACAAUUCUAAUUCUCCACCGUUGUCUUUGAUUUUACCGCUACAUUGUAUCUAUCAGACAACAUAUUCAUUUCUACAAAUGCUAGGAUAAGUCAUCAAUUUAGAUUUAACAAUAGUAAACCCUUUGAUUGUAAACAGACAACAUCACAUUAGACAUGAUAAUGGAUGAACCAUUUUUUUUUUGCGAUAGUUCUUUUGCUUAUUCACAUUUGUAGUAGACACUAAACCUAGACGCAUGACUUUGUGUAAAAAUUGCCCCGCUAACCACUGAAAGAAAAUGCUGUUUUGCUUCACCAUCCGACAACUGUCAUUUACUUCUUUCUGAUUCGAGUUUGACCCUUUGAAUUCUUGAAUGAUCUGUACAGUGGUUUAUCAAAUUCUGUGAUAUAUUGGUUUAUCUGUUUUUCCUCCUUGCAAUGGGGAGACUUAACUAACUUAUGAAACUUUCCAAUUUAGAUACUUCAUCGGGUUAUCCCACACUCAACUAAUUACUUUAAAGGAGUUAAUAUAUUCUUCUUCUCAAAUCGAGGAAUAUAAACCUCUUUUGGUAGCUGUAACCUGGGCCUCCUCCAUUCCUUUGCAUUAUCUUCCAUGAAAAACAGCUCAUAAACAUCAGAGUGUGUAUGGAGCUCAAAGCUAGAGUUGAUGAAUAAAGUAAUACUUGAGCUGUUCAUGUAAUAUAAGCACCUAUACCAACAAUGGCAAAAUGAUAGCAAUUUGUCAUCACAAGUAAUCAUAAACAUUGGUCAGGAGAAUUGUCUAUGGACAUUGUGCCAAGUAAAACAAAAUGGCAAUCUUCUUAGUCACCGACCUGCAUAGUUCAAGUAAGAGCUGAUCCGCAGGCCAUAUGUGCACAACAUGCACCUCAAAGGAGCAUCAGAAAUGCAGUUGUUUAAGUCAUUGUCCAAAAUGUGGAUAGACGUUGCACACCUUGUGUACGGGGCAUGCUAAUAAUUGCUGUGCAUACUUUGAGAUAUCUUCACUUUCAUCUAUGUUGUAUGAUAGUAGCAACCUCCUCAGCUAUAUAAGUGAACCUCACGUCCAACUUUUUACAAGCAAAGUGAUCAACCAGUUGUGUAUGCAUUUUGUGCCUACUCUACCUUGAAGACAUUCAUUUGCCUUCCCAUCAUUCAACACUUGUAAAUGGAGUGUUAUAAUUUACAACGCCAGGCAGCAUGCUUGAAAAGGAGCCUCUUUGAUCAGGGAUACUUGGAUGAGCAAUUUUGUCAGAUUGAGGACUUGCAGGAUGAAGCAAGUCCUAAUUUUACAGAAGAAGUUGUUUCCUUGUUCUUCAAGGACUCAGCCAGGCUAAUGACAAAUAUUGAGCAAGCUAUGGAGAAGAACCCCAGAGAUUUCAAUAGAUGGGAUGCACACAUGCAGCAAUUAAAAGGAAGCUGCUAUAGCAUUGGUGCUUCCAGGAUGAAGAAUGAGUGCACAUCAUUCAGGAAUAACUGUGGGGACGAGAAUGCGGAAGGCUGCAUGAGGUCUUUCCAGAAGGUGAAGAGGGAGCAUGGUGUCCUCAGGCAGAAGCUGGAGUCCUACAUCCAGCUGCUCCGACAAGCCGGUCCUGCUGAGACUGCAACCAGGCCUGGGUGCGCUUAAGGAACUGGCUGUGGCGUGAUGGCAUCCAGGGCAGGCGCUCCACCACGCGAUCGUUGCACACCAGCAGUAAAGGCGGGCCACGAAUAAGAAUUUUCCCUAAGCUACUACAAGUUUUUGACUGUAUAUCCUACAAAAAUCCAGGCUCUCAAGUCUCCAGAGAGUCCUUAAGCUGGUGUUUGCUGACUAGUUAGGCCCGGGAAAUAAGAGCAAACCUGUUGGCGCCCCACGGCGAUGUAGCCUGACAGACCAUCAGUUUGCAUCGUGAGACCUUUGCUUUGCCCACGCUGCCAUCCGGAUUGGGAUGGCUCGACGCUGCUGCGGCCUGCAGCUGCCCAAAACUGUCGGUGACCGUCGAUGUUGCGAUGA